AGCGAACGCUGGCGGUAGGCCUAACACAUGCAAGUCGAACGGCAGCACAGUAAGAGCUUGCUCUUACGGGAGGCGAGUGGCGGACGGGUGAGGAAUACAUCGGAAUCUACUUUUUCGUGGGGGAUAACGUAGGGAAACUUACGCUCAUACCGCAUACGCCCUACGGGUGAAAGCAGGGGAUCUUCGGACCUUGCGCGAUUGAAUGAGCCGAUGUCGGAUUAGCUAGUUGGCGGGGUAAAGGCCCACCAAGGCGACGAUCCGUAGCUGGUCUGAGAGGAUGAUCGGCCACACUGGAACUGAGACACGAUCCAGACUCCUACGGGAGGCAGCAGUGGGGAAUAUUGGACAAUGGGCGCGAGCCUGAUCCAGCCAUACCGCGUGGGUGAAGGAGGCCUUCGGGUUGUAAAGCCCUUUUGUUGGGAAAGAAAAGCAGCAGGUUAAUACGCCGCUUUUCUGACGGUACCCAAAGAAUAAGCACCGGCUAACUUCGUG
rnacentral:rRNA from 1 species